AUGGGCAUUUAAGGAUAGAAGAAUGGAUGAUAAUUGUUCUAAAUCAACAUUAUUAAAUGCUCCUACAACAUCCAAAAAAACACCAGCCAAUAUCUUAUUGUCAAUCUGGGCACUAUGGAUGUCAAGACAUAAAUGCCGUAUACUCUCACAAGCAGAACGACCACAUCAAAAUCCAAAUUGAUUAUUAGAUUACUGUGUGGAGGAAUGUUGGAUGGAAUUGAAGAAGAUUCAGUUUCCGACACUACCAUUGAAUUUUGUGAUUGUAGGUAAGUGAUAGCUGCCCAAAGAGUCCUGAUGAACUUGCCAUUCACAGCACAGGAAUAAUGAAGAUGAUACUAUUGUUAGAUCUAGUCCAUUUGGUCUCCAAGAAUUAAUACCCACUGUAGUUGGUUGAUCAUUAUUUAAGAGCAUUAAGUCAUUAUCGUCCAUUACAUCCAUGAUGUCUCUACCUCUAGAAUUGGUUCUAUUACAACCCCAAAUGGUAUGGUGAGCAUUAAAAUCACCAGCAAUUAUUAGUGGUUUUGGAAUACUAUGCAACAGUCUAUUAAAUUUAGAUUUGUCAAAGUUAGGUACACUGUUGCCAGGACUAUAAAAGCUAACAAUUGAGAUGUCUUGUUGUUUGUAUUUAAUUUUGAUUGCUACAUUUUGCAAGGAGUUAUCAGAAAAUGUUUCUAACUUUUGAAAAUAAAUGCCAUUUCUAACAAAAAUUGCUACACCAUUGUGAUCAUCACCACAAUCAUUUCUUAGUAUUGUAGAACCUCUGAUAGAAAACUGUAUAUUUGGUUUAAGCCAAGUUUCUGAUAUAAGUGCUAUGUGUAUGUCCUGCUCAUAAAGUAGGUUUUGAAGCUCAAGUCUGUUACUCGACAGACUGAGCAUUCUACUGUACUAUGUUAAGUUUUUGACAGUUGAAUGUGACGUUUUAUUUUUAAUUUGUAUGGUAUCUUUAAUAGCUGAACUAAUUGGGCGUGAGCUAAUGCUUUGAUUCUGUGUUUGAUUUAGUGUAAUGACUUUUAUUAUUGAUUCUGUGAUUAGGUUCAUUGCUGCUGGAUUGGAUAAAAUUAAAUUAAUGAUGUGUGUUCUCUGCCUUAUUGAGUGAUGGAAAGUUUGUUGGAUGUUUAAAUAAAUCUGAUAAUGGUG